GGUGCGGCCGAGGGCAGCAAGAACCAAGCGGGAAGCGAGCAGCCGCUCUUCUCCCUGGGCUUUGAGGCCGGCUACGCGCAGGAGCCGCAGCCCGAGGAGUCUCCAGGAAGGCAGCAGAUCUGUUAUUAGGAGCUCAAGUGAAGCAGCAGCUAAGUCAAAGGAGAAAAAGAAAGAGUCAGAGGAAAAAAAAAGGAUUAAGAAACAAACACACACACUCUAAAAAAAAAAAAAAAAAGGGAAAAAAGCGUCAAACAACAACAA